UACCAGCACCCCGAGUGGUCGGGACGAUUAUUGGGCCUAAAGCAUCCGUAGCCGGUUCUACAAGUCUUCCGUUAAAUCCACCUGCUUAACGGAUGGGCUGCGGAGGAUACUAUGGAGCUAGGAGGCGGGAGAGGCAAGCGGUACUUAGUGGGUAGGGGUAAAAUCCGUUGAUCCAUUGAAGACCACCAGUGGCGAAGGCGGCUUGCCAGAACGCACUCGACGGUGAGGGAUGAAAGCUGGGGGAGCAAACCGG
rnacentral:rRNA from 1 species